GACGAACGCUGGCGGCGUGCUUAACACAUGCAAGUCGAACGGAAAGGCCCUGCUUUUGUGGGGUGCUCGAGUGGCGAACGGGUGAGUAACACGUGAGUAACCUGCCCUUGACUUUGGGAUAACUUCAGGAAACUGGGGCUAAUACCGGAUAGGAGCUCCUGCUGCAUGGUGGGGGUUGGAAAGUUUCGGCGGUUGGGGAUGGACUCGCGGCUUACCAGCUUGUUGGUGGGGUAGUGGCUUACCAAGGCUUUGACGGGUAGCCGGCCUGAGAGGGUGACCGGCCACAUUGGGACUGAGAGACGGCCCAGACUCCUACGGGAGGCAGCAGUGGGGAAUAUUGCACGAUGGGUGGAAGCCUGAUGCAGCAACGCCGCGUGCGGGAUGACGGCCUUCGGGUUGUAAACCGCUUUCGCCUGUGACGAAGCGUGAGUGACGGUAAUGGGUAAAGAAGCACCGGCUAACUACGUG
rnacentral:rRNA from 1 species